CCUACGGGAGGCUGCAGUGAGGAAUAUUGGUCAAUGGUCGGGAGACUGAACCAGCCAAGCCGCGUGAGGGAGGAAGGUACAGAGUAUCGUAAACCUCUUUUGUCAGGGAACAAAGGCGGGGACGUGUCCCCGGUUGAGUGUACCUGAUGAAAAAGCAUCGGCUAAAUCCGUGCCAGCAGCCGCGGUAAUACGGAGGAUGCGAGCGUUAUCCGGAUUUCUUGGGUUUAAAGGGUGCGCGGGCGGUGUGUUAAGUGUGCGGGAAAAGCCCGGGGUGCAACCCCGGCCCGCCGUUGAAACUGGCAGUCUCGAGUUGGAGAGAAGUAUGCGGAAUGCGCGGUGUAGCGGUGAAAUGCAUAGAUAUCGCGAAGAACUCCGAUUGCGAAGGCAGCAUGCCGGCUCCACACUGACGCUGAGGCACGAAAGCGUGGGUAUCGAACAGGAUUAGAUACCCCAGUAGUC
rnacentral:rRNA from 1 species